AACAAAAACAUGUCCUUUUGGUAUUUAUAUAAGGUCUGACCUGCCCACUGAUUAAUUAAAUGGCCGCAGUAUUUUGACUGUGCAAAGGUAGCAUAAUCAUUAGUUUUUUAAUUAAAAGCUUGUAUGAAGGGUUGGACGAGGUAAAAUCUGUCUCUAUUUAAUUUAUUUUAGAAUUUAAUUUUUAAGUUAAAAAGCUUAAAUUAUUAUAAAAGACGAGAAGACCCUAUAGAUCUUUAUAUUAUUAUAAAUAUUUUUAAUUAGGAAUAUUUUAUUUUUUAUUUAUAUUAAUAUUUUAUUGGGGUAAUAAAAAGAUUAAAAAAAUUCUUUUUAAAAUUUAAUACUAAUUAGUAAUUAUGUGAUCCAAUAUUUUUGAUUGUAAGAUUAAGUUACCUUAGGGAUAACAGCGUAAUUUUUUUUGAGAGUUCAUAUCGAUAAAAAAGUUUGCGACCUCGAUGUUG
rnacentral:rRNA from 1 species